rnacentral:rRNA from 2 species
UGGCUCAGGACGAACGCUGGCGGCGUGCCUAAUACAUGCAAGUCGAACGAACUCUGGUAUUGAUUGGUGCUUGCAUCAUGAUUUACAUUUGAGUGAGUGGCGAACUGGUGAGUAACACGUGGGAAACCUGCCCAGAAGCGGGGGAUAACACCUGGAAACAGAUGCUAAUACCGCAUAACAACUUGGACCGCAUGGUCCGAGCUUGAAAGAUGGCUUCGGCUAUCACUUUUGGAUGGUCCCGCGGCGUAUUAGCUAGAUGGUGGGGUAACGGCUCACCAUGGCAAUGAUACGUAGCCGACCUGAGAGGGUAAUCGGCCACAUUGGGACUGAGACACGGCCCAAACUCCUACGGGAGGCAGCAGUAGGGAAUCUUCCACAAUGGACGAAAGUCUGAUGGAGCAACGCCGCGUGAGUGAAGAAGGGUUUCGGCUCGUAAAACUCUGUUGUUAAAGAAGAACAUAUCUGAGAGUAACUGUUCAGGUAUUGACGGUAUUUAACCAGAAAGCCACGGCUAACUACGUGCCAGCAGCCGCGGUAAUACGUAGGUGGCAAGCGUUGUCCGGAAUUAUUGGGCGUAAAGCGAGCGCAGGCGGUUUUUUAAGUCUGAUGUGAAAGCCCUUCGGCUCAACCGAAGAAGUGCAUCGGAAACUGGGAAACUUGAGUGCAGAAGAGGACAGUGGAACUCCAUGUGUAGCGGUGAAAUGCGUAGAUAUAUGGAAGAACACCAGUGGCGAAGGCGGCUGUCUGGUCUGUAACUGACGCUGAGGCUCGAAAGUAUGGGUAGCAAACAGGAUUAGAUACCCUGGUAGUCCAUACCGUAAACGAUGAAUGCUAAGUGUUGGAGGGUUUCCGCCCUUCAGUGCUGCAGCUAACGCAUUAAGCAUUCCGCCUGGGGAGUACGGCCGCAAGGCUGAAACUCAAAGGAAUUGACGGGGGCCCGCACAAGCGGUGGAGCAUGUGGUUUAAUUCGAAGCUACGCGAAGAACCUUACCAGGUCUUGACAUACUAUGCAAAUCUAAGAGAUUAGACGUUCCCUUCGGGGACAUGGAUACAGGUGGUGCAUGGUUGUCGUCAGCUCGUGUCGUGAGAUGUUGGGUUAAGUCCCGCAACGAGCGCAACCCUUAUUAUCAGUUGCCAGCAUUAAGUUGGGCACUCUGGUGAGACUGCCGGUGACAAACCGGAGGAAGGUGGGGAUGACGUCAAAUCAUCAUGCCCCUUAUGACCUGGGCUACACACGUGCUACAAUGGAUGGUACAACGAGUUGCGAACUCGCGAGAGUAAGCUAAUCUCUUAAAGCCAUUCUCAGUUCGGAUUGUAGGCUGCAACUCGCCUACAUGAAGUCGGAAUCGCUAGUAAUCGCGGAUCAGCAUGCCGCGGUGAAUACGUUCCCGGGCCUUGUACACACCGCCCGUCACACCAUGAGAGUUUGUAACACCCAAAGUCGGUGGGGUAACCUUUUAGGAACCAGCCGCCUAAGGUGGGACAGAUGAUUAGGGUGAAGUCGUCAAA